rnacentral:lncRNA from 1 species
GAAGAGUGGUCUGCGGAAUGGAGCGUACAAUACUCGGACUUUGGAAGCAGACUUGAUCGAGCAGAUAAUCACAAAUAAAACAACCGUGUCGCCCAAGACGUGUUCUCAUUAGAGGUUUUUCGCGUGUGGUGACCUCUGGCUUUUGCUCUCGCUAGCUGGCAGCCGCGGUGCGGUGUGUAGCUGAGACAAAUUAUGGGCCUUCUGUACCGUACACGCUACUAAGACGUCCCGUAGGAACAAACGUAUCGGACCAAGCGGCCAACCCCGGGUCGAGAAUAGCUAGCACCAAGUUGAACAGUAAAGUAGCUGAAACAAAUGCGGGAUGGCCACCGAGGGUCGCUCGGUGUAUCCGUUUUUCGUGCGUGUAGUAGAAAUAUACAGAUGAAGAGCUCACUUUGCUUUUUUGGAGUCGACGAGGUGUUUGUUGUCGAAGACAACCGACUACCGCCUGCAGUCGGGGCGACUUUUUAACAGCAGGGCACGUCGGACGCAUGCGUUGGGUG